rnacentral:rRNA from 1 species
UACGAAGGGUGCAAGCGUUACUCGGAAUUACUGGGCGUAAAGCGUGCGUAGGUGGUUCGUUAAGUCUGAUGUGAAAGCCCUGGGCUCAACCUGGGAAUGGCAUUGGAAACUGGCGAUCUAGAGUGCGGUAGAGGGUAGUGGAAUUCCCGGUGUAGCAGUGAAAUGCGUAGAGAUCGGAAAGAACACCAACGGCAAAAGCACUCUGCUGGGCCGACACUGACACUGAGAGACGAAAGCUAGGGGAGCGAAUGGG